rnacentral:rRNA from 1 species
AAUGAACGUUGGCGGCGUGGAUUAGGCAUGCAAGUCGUGCGAUAUUCCCUCGCAAGGGGGAUGAAAGCGGCGAAGGGGAGAGUAACGCGUGGAUACCUACCCUGGGGACCGGGAUAGCCGCGGGAAACUGCGGGUAAUACCGGAUAACGUCUUUGGACCAAAGGUGUGAUUCCGCCCUGGGCUGGGUCCGCGUCCUAUUAGCUAGUUGGCAGGGUAAUGGCCUACCAAGGCGAUGAUGGGUACGGGGUGUGAGAGCAUGACCCCGCUCACUGGGACUGAGACACUGCCCAGACACCUACGGGUGGCUGCAGUCGAGGAUCUUCGGCAAUGGGCGCAAGCCUGACCGAGCGACGCCGUGUGCGGGAUGAAGGCCUUCGGGUUGUAAACCGCUGUCAGAGGGGAGGAAGUACCGGGAAGUAAUACAUAAUCGACCCGGUUUGACCUAUCCUCAGAGGAAGUACGGGCUAAGUUCGUGCCAGCCGCCGCUGUAA